UACGUAGGUGGCGAGCGUUGUCCGGAUUUACUGGGCGUAAAGGGCGUGCAGGCGGUUUGUUAAGUGCAGGGUGAAAGCUCCCGGCUCAACUGGGAGAGGUCCUUGCAUACUGGCGAACUCGAGGGAGGCAGAGGAAAGUGGAAUUCCCGGUGUAGUGGUGAUAUGCGUAGAUAUCGGGAGGAACACCUGUGGCGAAGGCGGCUUUCUGGGCCUUACCUGACGCUGAGACGCGAAAGCGUGGGUAGCAAACAGG
rnacentral:rRNA from 1 species